ACGGCUCAGUAACACGUGGAUAACCUGCCCUUAGGACCGGCAUAACCCUGGGAAACUGGGGAUAAUUCCGGAUAACCCAUGAAUGCUGGAAUGCUUCGUGGGUAAAAUGGUUUCGACCGCCCAAGGAUGGAUCUGCGGCCUAUCAGGUAGUAGUGGGUGUAGUGUACCUACUAGCCGACGACGGGUACGGGUUGUGAGAGCAAGAGCCCGGAGAUGGAUUCUGAGACAUGAAUCCAGGCCCUACGGGGCGCAGCAGGCGCGAAAACUUUACAAUGCGGGAAACCGCGAUAAGGGGACACUGAGUGCCAGCAUCUUAUGUUGGCUGUCCGCAUGUUUAAAACGCAUGUGUUAGCAAGGGCUGGGCAAGACCGGUGCCAGCCGCCGCGGUAACACCGGCAGCCCGAGUGGUGAUCACUAUUAUUGGGUCUAAAGGGUCCGUAGCCGGUUUGAUCAGUCUUUUGGGAAAUCUGACAGCUUAACUGUUAGGCUUCCAAAGGAUACUGUCAGACUUGGGACCGGGAGAGGUAAGAGGUACUACAGGGGUAGGAGUGAAAUCUUGUAAUCCCUGUGGGACCACCAGUGGCGAAGGCGUCUUACCAGAACGGGUCCGACGGUGAGGGACGAAAGCUGGGGGCACGAACCGGAUUAGAUACCCGGGUAGUCCCAGCCGUAAACGAUGCUCGCUAGGUGUCAGGAAUGGUGCGACCGUUUCUGGUGCCGUAGGGAAGCCGUGAAGCGAGCCACCUGGGAAGUACGGCCGCAAGGCUGAAACUUAAAGGAAUUGGCGGGGGAG
rnacentral:rRNA from 1 species